GACGAACGCUGGCGGCGUGCUUAACACAUGCAAGUCGUACGGUAAGGCCCUUUCGGGGGUCCACGAGUGGCGAACGGGUGAGUAACACGUGAGUAACCUGCCCACAACUUUGGGAUAACGCUAGGAAACUGGCGCUAAUACUGGAUAUGUGCUCCUGCUGCAUGGUGGGGGUUGGAAAGCUCCGGCGGUUGUGGGUGGACUCGCGGCCUAUCAGCUUGUUGGUGGGGUAGUGGCCUACCAAGGCGGCGACGGGGAGGCGGCCUGGGAGGGUGACCGGCCACAUUGGGACUGAGAUACGGCCCAGACUCCUACGGGGGGCAGCAGUGGGGAAUAUUGCACAAUGGGCGCGAGCCUGAUGCAGCAACGCCGCGUGCGGGAUGACGGCCUUCGGGUUGUAAACCGCUUUCAGCAGGGACGAAGCUUUUUGUGACGGUACCUGCAGAAGAAGCACCGGCUAACUACGUG
rnacentral:rRNA from 1 species